rnacentral:lncRNA from 1 species
GAUGAAUAACUGCAUUGUAGGCAUCUGUAAUGAUAUAUUGCAACUGGUUCCUGAAAGCCAUAUGCUGAAGAUGAGUAUCAAGUUUGUUGUAUGGACAAGAGAUUUUGUUAAUUUGGAAUAUGUGUUCAGACACAGAAUUUCUUGCAUAUGUCAGCACCAGUUAUGUGAGCAGCAGUUACAAUGAGCAGCAAAGAAAAGUGAAAAUUAAAUAAUGUAAAACUAUAAAAUGUGUAAAUCAGGGCGACCAACUUUGUUUAUCUGAAAUAUUUUUUAUUGUUUUAGGAAUGGUAACCUUUUCUGUGGAGAUCUAGAUUUCUCUGAAUGCAUUUUAAAAUUUGUUUUAUGUUGUCCUUUUCUUUUUGUCUUGGAAAACAUUCAUACUCCUAUUUGACUGCAGAUCCACAAAUCUAAUUAAAUUUCUGAAAUGUAUUGGCAUGAGUCACACAUUGACCUUUUGCUUUUGCUUAUUGCAUAGAAGUUUAAAUAUCAAUGUCUUCUACUGCUGUUUUUAGAAGUGGUUUAUGAGAAUAUGAAUAAGAAUAUGAAAUGAAAAUGUUUCUCAGUUUGUCAUUGUCAGACAAUGAGAAUCUUCAUCUUCCUGUCAGAUAUCAUCUCUUAUGUAACACUUUGAGCUUAAUUGUUCUGUAAUUUGUACUUCAGUCCAGAGGCUCUUGCCGUUUUCCUGGGUUAUUUCAUCUGUGAUAUUUCAAAUUAUUUAUUUGUCAUUAAAAUAGAGCUAUCUCUUACCUCUUGCC